UUAUUUUUAGUAUUGUUUUUCGGUUCUUUUUAUUAUUAUUAUAAAAUUUUUAUUUAACAUGGAGAUCACAGUUACAUUGGACAAACCA